ensembl:lincRNA
AUGGACCUCACGGGUCACCACUACCCGAAGGCUCCUUCCCUCAUGGCACACGUAGAACCACAUCCUCCUCUCACCUCACUUUGCAUUAUAUUUGUGUCUUUCUCUCUCAGGUGUAACCGUGAACUCUGUGGAGCCAGGUAUUGUAUACACAAAUAUCAUGAAGAAUUAUUCUUGGCUAUUUCGCUUCUUAUUCUGGCUCCUCAGCUUAUUUUGGAAGAAUCCCAAGCAAGGCGCAGUCCCAGUCCUUUACCUGAGCUUGGCACAGGAGCUGGAUGGUGUUUCUGGAAAAUAUUUUAGCCGUUCCUGUGUGAUAACCCUUCCUGCUCAACCAGCUCAGGAUCCUCAUCUGGCCCAGAGACUCUGGAAUGCCUCAGUUCGACUAACAAACCUAGACAAGAUGGACUAACCCUCUGUGGCUCCCACCCUAACGGGCCACCCAUCCCCUGGCUCCCGCUCUUACUCUGGUUAUACCUUUGGUUUGCAAACCCCAAAGGGGUUCUUUUUAAAAUUUUUAUUGGGGAAGUUGUGGAUUUACAGAACGAUCAUGCAUAAAAUACAGGAUUCCCGUAUAAAGUGGUUUUUUAUUCAUAAUAAAACUAUACAGGGAAGCGGACAUGGCUCAACUGAUAGAGCGUCUGCCUACCAUAUGGGAGGGUCCAAGGUUCAAACCCGGGCCUCCUGACCCGUGUGGUAAGCUGGCCCACGUGCAGAGCUGCCCAGUGCAAGGAGUGCUGUGCCACGCAGGGGCACACGCCCCGUGUGGGAGUGUCCCAUGUGCAAGGAGUGUGCCCUGGAAGGAGAGCCGCCCGGCAUGAAAAAAGUACAGCCCGCCCAGGAGUGGCACUGCACACACACAGAGCUGGCACAUUAAGAUGACACAACAAAAAAGAGACGCAGUUUCCCAGUCCCAACAGGGCUGUGAGUGGACACACAAGAACACACAGCAAAUGGACACAGAGAGCAGACAAUGGGGGGAGGGGAGUGGAGAGAAAUAAAUAAAAAUAAAUCUAUAUAAAAAAAAACUAUAUUGUUCCUCCCAUUCCAACUUUGGGUUAGGUGCCCUGCCCUUGUGCUCUUGUGACCCUGUGAUAACUAACCAGUCUCACUUUGUUAAGUUUCCAUAUCUUUGUAUAGCAGUGUUGUAUUGUACUCUAAAUACUCAGGUGCAAGAAAUGCUGUUGUCUCACAGUUCUCCAAAUCUAGGGCUGCCAGACUUAGAAAAAAAAAUAGAGGCUAUUCAGUUAAAUUUAAAUUUCAGGUAAUGAAUACUUUUUUGGUGUAAAUAUGUCCUAGAUAUUGCAUUGGACAAUACAUCUGAUAUUUUUGAUAUGCUUUUACUAAAACACCAACGAGUUCCUUGUAUUUUAUCUGGAAGCCCUAUCCAAAUAAAAACAAUUUGUUUUGAGUCAGGCUGUAUCCUUCUUCCAUUGCAUCAUACCAAAAUCCCUGGCUUAACCCUCUUGACUGCUCGAAGGAGUGUAGACUGGGGAAGCCAUGCUAGAGGACAACCUGGCAGUAUUUAGUCAAAUUAAGCAAACUUAUACCCUAUGGCCCAGUGGUUUGACUCCUAGUAUGUAUUUUAGAGAAGCUUCAUUUAUAGGUCCACACAGGUCCCAGCAGAAGACAGUAGGUUGUAAAGCUAGUUUAACAAAAGGACUAUUUACAAAGCGUGGGCAAGGUGUAGGGAAAUGAUGGAACACAGUGCAGUCAGUGCUGUACCCUAGGGGUAUGCCACCCCUCGGCUCUCCCCGCUCCCCUGAUCUCCUGUAGGAGAUGUACUAGUUUUCGCAUGUUAAUCUUGUACCCUGUCACCUUGCCAAAUUCAUUACCUCCAGUAGCUUUGUUGUAGGUUAUUUGGGAUUUUCUAUGUAUAGGGUCAUGUCAUCUGCCGAUAGGAAAAGUUUUACUUCUUUCCAAUUCAGAUGCCUUUGUUUCUUUUUCUUACCUAAUUGCUCUAUCACUUCCAGUACAAUGUUGAAUAACAGUGUAACAGUGGGGAGCCUUGUCUUACUCCUGACCUGAAAGGGAGAGCCUUUAGUUUUUUACCACUGCAGUAUGAUGCUACCUGUGAGUUUUCUUACAUGCCCUUUAUCAUGUUGAGGAAGUUUUCUUCUAUUCCUAAUUGUCUAAGUUUUUAUCGAGAAGUGGCUCAGGAUUUUGUUAAAUGCCUUUUCUGCAUCCAUCAAGAUGCUCAUGUGAUUUUUCUCUUCGUUCUGUUAGUGUGGUGUAUUAACUGAUUUUCCUGUGUUGGACCACCCUUGCAUAACUGGGAUAAAUCCUACUUGAUUAUGGUGGUAUAAUUCUUUUGAUGUGCUGUUGGAUUAGAUUUGCUAGCAUUUUGUUGAGAAUUUUUGCAUCUAUAUUCAUGAGAGAUACUGUUCUGCAAUUUUCUUGUAAUAUCUUCAUUUGACUUUUGUAUGAGGGUGAUGUUAGCCUCAUAGAAUGAGUCAGGAUUCCUUCUCUCCAAUUGUUUGGAAGAGUUUGAGCAGGAUUGGUGUUAAUUCUUGGAAUGUUUGGUAGAAGUCAUCUGGUCUUGGGCUUUUCUUUGUUGGGAGGUUUUUCAUGACUUGAGUCAAUCUCUUAAGUAAUUAUUUGUCUGUUGAGAUCUUCUAUUUCUUUUUGAGUCAGUGUAGGUACUUUGUAUGUUUCUGGGAGUUUGUCUUUUUCAUCUCAGUUAUCUAAUUCAUUGUCAUACAGUUGUUCAUAGUAUCCUUUUAUAAUCCUUUGUAUUUCUGUGGGGUCAGUAAUAAUGUUUCCCCGUUCAUUUCUCAUUUUAGUUAUUUGAAUCCUCUCUUUUUUUUCUUUGUUAGUCUAGCUAAGUGUUUGCCAAUUUUAUGGAUCUUUUCAAAGAACAACUUUUGAUUUUGUUGAUUCAAUUGUUUUUUUUCUUUCAUUUUUUAACAAAUCAAUUUAAUGGAUACAUAUUAAUAAAGCAUACAAUUCAUCCAAAGUGUGUAAUCAGUGAUAUUUGGUAUAAUCACAUAGUUGUGCAUUCAUCACUUCAAUCAUUAUUAGAGCAUUUUCAUUAUUUAUUUAAAGAUUUAUUUAUUUCCCCUUCCCCUCCCCCGACCCUGCUUUUUUUGCUGUCUAUGUCAUUCGCUGUGUGACCUUCUAUAGCUAUUUCUCUUUUUUGUCUUCUCAUUUUUUCUCCUCUAGGAUUUACCUAGAUUUGAUCUUGGGGACGUUUGAUGUGGAGAGUGUUUUCUUGUCAGCUGUGCCACUGCAGUUCUUGGUUUCUGCUGUGCUUCACCUUGAUUCUCCCCUUGGUCUCUUUUGUUGAGUCAUCAUCCUGCUGCAUGACUCACUUGCAUGGGCACUGGCUCACUGUGCGGGCACUCACACAGGCACUGGCUCACCGUGCAGGCAUGCUUUCUCAUCUUCUUUUUCACCAGGAGGCCCCAGGGAUCGAACCUGGGUCCUCCCAUAUGGUAGGUGGAAACCCUAUCACUUGAGCCACAUCCACUUCCCCAUUUUCAUUAUUUAAAAAACAAUCUCUAUUUCAUUUAUCUCCAUUCUAAUCUUCAUUAUUUCCCUCCUUCUGCUUGCUUUGUGUUUAGUUUGCCCUUCUUUUUCUUGAUCCUCCAGUUUUGAGAUUAGGCACCAGGAACAGAACCUGGCACCUUCCUUGUGAGAGAUGGGCACCCAACUGGUUGAGCCACAUCAGCUUCCCAGGUCUUUAUCUUUAAUUUUUUCCUCUGUGAGGCUUUUUUUUCUUUUUAGUUUCACUCUCUGUGGAUGUUACUCUUUGAUUAUCCUGGCUUUAUGUGUGUGCAAGAUAGUUUUCCAGUUCAACCUUCUCUGAUUAGCCCUAAAUUUUAUCUUAUGGCUCCUUUAUAUGUUUUUUUUUAAUAAGUUUAAAUUUUUUUUAAAUUUAUUUUUUAUUGUCUUUUUAAAAAAAGAUACAUAAAUCACACAAAAUGUUACAUUAAAAAAUAUACCUCCGAACUACUGUGAUUAGUAAUCGAAGAAAAUGUGGCAUUGGUGUGGAGAAGUGGCCAUGGUGGCUGCUCCAAGUGGGAGGAAGAGAUGUUAAGUGGGGG